rnacentral:rRNA from 1 species
AUUGAACGCUGGCGGCAGGCCUAACACAUGCAAGUCGAGCGGAUGAAGGGAGCUUGCUCCUGGAUUCAGCGGCGGACGGGUGAGUAAUGCCUAGGAAUCUGCCUGGUAGUGGGGGAUAACGUCCGGAAACGGGCGCUAAUACCGCAUACGUCCUGAGGGAGAAAGUGGGGGAUCUUCGGACCUCACGCUAUCAGAUGAGCCUAGGUCGGACUAGCUAGUUGGUGGGGUAAAGGCCUACCAAGGCGACGAUCCGUAACUGGUCUGAGAGGAUGAUCAGUCACACUGGAACUGAGACACGGUCCAGACUCCUACGGGAGGCAGCAGUGGGGAAUAUUGGACAAUGGGCGAAAGCCUGAUCCAGCCAUGCCGCGUGUGUGAAGAAGGUCUUCGGAUUGUAAAGCGCUUUAAGUUGGGAGGAAGGGCAGUAAGUUAAUACCUUGCUGUUUUGACGUUACCAACAGAAUAAGCACCGGCUAACUUCGUG